rnacentral:rRNA from 1 species
ACGCUCGACACCUACGGAAGGCAGCAGUGGGGAAUAUUGCACAAUGGGGGAAACCCUGAUGCAGCGACGCCGCGUGAGCGAAGAAGUAUCUCGGUAUGUAAAGCUCUAUCAGCAGGGAAGAAGAUGACGGUACCUGACUAAGAAGCACCGGCUAAAUACGUGCCAGCAGCCGCGGUAAUCUGAGGCGGGCUGGCAAGGC